ensembl:lncRNA
CGGCGAGAGGGGAAACCUCGGCUCAUCCAGCUGGAGAGCCUGACCAGGAGGAGUCGAACAUUAACUCUGCUCUUCCAGGGCACCCUGCAGACUCAGCUGCUGGCAACAGCGAAGUAGUGCGGCCGCCGCUGGGAUGACGUCCAUCACAGGUCGACUGCAGAGUCUGCCAGAGAGGACCCGGAAACCACCGUGAGAAGCUUCAUUAAAACCCACCUGAAGCUGCCGGAGGACACGGUGAAAAACAUAGGGUUUGAAAGGGUGCAUCGCAUUGGGGCUCCGAAGACAGGAAGUGGGAGACCACGGCCUAUUGUGGCCAAAUUCGGCCACUUCAAGCAGAAGGAGAAGGUGAAGUGUCGCGGCAGAGAGCUGAAAGGAACGGAUUUCAGCGUGAAUGACCAGUUCCCCAGAGAGAUCCUGGAACGACGCAAGGUCCUGUUCCCAAUCCGCCGUAGCUCUACGUGGAGGGACAGCUCUACCGCGACCCCGGCAUCACUCCAUGGCUGUAUUGACCGCACACCAGAUAAGAAUCCGAUACACUAUUCUCUUCGCUCACACUCUCAUGUAUUAACUUUUGCUUAACUAUGUAAUAUCAGUUUGCUACUUCAGUAUAACAUCACCGUCACUCUCCGUCAAUGCCUUAAUUUGAAUGUUUCCAAGAAAAAAGGUUAAAAAUAUUUAACCAACUUAAAAACCUACAGGCAGACAUUGUUUUAUUACAAGAGACUCACUGGCCUGUCACAGGUUUGAAUGAACUUAAAACACCUGAGUUUCCUAAUGUGUUUUCAGCCUGUUAUAAUUCUAGACAAAAAGGAGUAGCCAUUUUAAUACAGAAAAAUAUUAAUUUCACAACAUUUGAUACAGUUAUAGAUCCCGAGGGCAGAUUCCUAAUCCUUAAACUAUCUAUAUUUAAUCAAAAGCUAUGUAUUGUAAGUGUAUAUGGUUCAAAUGUUGAUGACCCCUCAUUCUUCCACAGAUUUUUUAGUGCACUCUCUCAACACCUAGAUUGCACACUUGUUCUUGGGGCCGACCUUAACCUGGGGUUAAAUGAAGAAAUCGAUAGGCUCAAUACAGCAGGAACUCAGUGCAAUUGGCAAUCCACAAAUAUAAUCAAACAGUAUAUAAGCAACCUUGGUCUUGCGAUGCAUGGCGCUCCCUUCACCCCAACAGUAUUGAAUAUACUUUCUUUUCACAUGUCCAUCACUCCUACUCUUGCCUGGAUUAUCUCCGAGUCAGCAGCUCACUGCUGAGUGACAUUUCAGACACUGAGAUUCACCCUAUACAGGGCUCGCAAAAUUCCCUUCCACUGCAACGAGGCGGUCUGCUUGAGAGAAGGGUUACAUCUCCUGGGUCUAGGUACGGUUUGCCCCUCUGGGGGCAGGGUACCGGGACCUGGGAUAUAGAGUAUGUUUGGGGAGUGUGAAUGUGUGUACAUUUUCUAUUUGUGUCUGUCUCCACGUCAGGUGAACGCCGAGUAUUUGUUUGUGUAUAUGGGGGUGGAAAGGCACGUUUGUGUCUGCGUGCGCCUGUUCAUCUGUGUCUAUAUGUCAGGUUGGGUCUUAGACUCCACCCCUCCGGGAACAUCUCAGGCUCUCCGGGGUAUAGAGACUUAUCUCCCCUCACCACACUCCAUGCCGGUGACUGAUGCCCUCAGACAUUGGUGUGUUGGUGGCUCUUGGUGUCUGGGGCUGGGUGCUCAUAUAUGUACCGCCUCACUCUUGGUGGCUGAUUGGCGGGGCCUGGCGCCUGUGGCUCGGCUGGGCCCCUUCCGGGGGGUGGGAUGCUCUCAGGCCUCUGGCCUCUGGGCCUGAGGCUCGGUCCUCUCUGGCACAGCCGGCAGAGCCGGCAGAGCCUGCGGGCACGUUCUGUUGAAAGCCGUACAUGUCCAACUAACGCAUGAAGUGUUAAGUACAUUCAUGGCAGAAGUAAUGGCAAUAAUGAAUGCAAGACCACUUGUACCAGUCUCAACAGAUCCAGACAAACCAAACCUUCUCACUCCAGCAAUGCUCCUUACACAAAAGGUCAAUGCAUUAUCUGCACCAACAGGAAGCUUUGGACCGCCAGACCUCUACUCAAAGCAAUGGAAGCAAGUACAGUGUUUGGCAGACUCUUUUUGGAAACAGUGGAAAAGUGAAUAUCUUUCAACACUACAGCCAAGGAGAAAAUGGACUGAUGAUAAAACAAACAUAAAAGUUGGUGAUGUUGUGCUAUUGAAAGAUGCUCUCGCACACAGAAAUGACUGGUCCAUGGGAAAAGUUGUAAGAACAUUUGAGAGCAAGGACAAUAAGGUUCGAAAAGCAGAAGUAAAGACUGUGAAAGAUGGAAAUGAAAAAGUGUUUUUGAGACCCAUCGCUGAUAUGGUUUUGCUUUUAUCAAGUGAUAAAUAAGUGUUUGAAAUAGCCCUAAACUGUUCAAAAUGUUUAUUAGAGAAGUUUCUUCUAGUGGCACAAUUAUAUUGUACCAGGCGGGGAGUGUUCUGCCUUUUGUAACUUAAAUCGGAUAUUAUAGUUGUAAGCUGCCCUAGAGCUCCCUCUAGUGGCUACUUUGGGUUCGGUUACUUUGGGAAAGGAAAAAAUGAGAACGUGAAGAAGAAAUAUAAGAUGGCGGAAAGUGAUACCGUAAUGUUAUCGUUCUAAGCUGAUACGGACCUUAAAAUGUUGUUGCCUUGGACAAGAUAUGUCUGUAAGUAUGAGUGUCGAUAAAAUAAUUAUUAUCUUUUGUUUUGUGUAAAAAUGGUACGAUAAUUUGUACAUUUGAAAGUUUUAUCUUGUUAGCUUGCAGUAAGAGGGUAACAAGCUAGUUUACAAUGUUAGUUAGCUAAUACAGUAUUUUGUACUUUCAGUUUUACGAUGGUCAAAGAGAAGGCAAUGGUCAGAGGCCAUUCUUCAAUAAAUCAGCGCAAAAAGGAAAAUAAGUCUGGUUAUUGGAGCAUCGUUAUCUCGCUGUCUAGCUGGUGAAUCUAAGAGACUCAGGGCGAGGACAGCACAAUGAUAUUAAUAUGAAAUCUUAAAACUGACAUGAAAGAUGUAUUUGAAUGAAUCAUCUCUGUGAAAGAUAAAGGAACAGACGCCCUGCUGCUAUGUGCACAACACGGACAGGAGGAACAAAUUAUUUUGUAUUUUUAUUUUUUUGUAUUUGGCUUGAUCCUGAAGUAUAAAUGGUAUGGGAAUAAAAUAUCUUAAUAUUGACCGAACUGCUUUGUUGUUGUUUCAGUUAGUCUCAGUCAGCCUGCACCCUUAUAAACUUGGCUGUUUGUUGCUUUGAAACCCUCUAUGCAUGAUUAGGUCAGUGGCUUUAUUGCUUCCUUUGGCCAACUUCUUGUCCCAGCAGGGUAUCUGACGAACAGCAGGGUGUAGAUGUUGCCCUGGAUCUUGUCCUCCCCAUUUGGCUGACUCCUCAGAAGUCGCCUUACUCUCUGCAGGUGUUUGGUGGUUGCAGCUUGCCAAGCGGCCUCUUCAUGGUUGCCAUUUGCCUGUGUGAUUCCAAGCUCUGUCUUCACUUCAAACUGGGAGUUUAAGAUCUUCUGAACCAGGGCCUCUGUCAGAUGUCUCCAGCUCAGCUCCUCUCCUCACCUGAGUGUCCAGACCAUACAGCCGCAGAUCCUCAAGCUGUUUAUUGAGGUGUUUGGUGGUUGCAGCUUGCCAAGCGGCCUCUUCAUGGUUGCCAUUUGCCUGUGUGAUUCCAAGCUCUGUCUUCACUUCAAACUGGGAGUUUAAGAUCUUCUGAACCAGGGCCUCUGUCAGAUGUCUCCAGCUCAGCUCCUCUCCUCACCUGAGUGUCCAGACCAUACAGCCGCAGAUCCUCAAGCUGUUUAUUGAGGU